CUCUGUGACUCCUACGGGGAGGCAGCAGUGGGGAAUAUUGCACAAUGGGGGAAGCCCUGAUGCAGCCAUGCCGCGUGUGUGAAGAAGGCCUUCGGGUGUAAAGCACUUUCAGUAGGGAGGAAGGUAGUGUAGUUAACACCUGCACUAUUUGACGUUACCUACAGAAGAAGCACCGGCUAACUCCGUGCCAGCAGCCGCGGUAAUACGGAGGGUGCGAGCGUUAAUCGGAAUUACUGGGCGUAAAGCGCAUGCAGGCGGCCUGUUAAGUCAGAUGUGAAAGCCCGGGGCUUAACCUCGGAAUUGCAUUUGAAACUGGCAGGCUAGAGUCUUGUAGAGGGGGGUAGGAAUUUCAGGUGUAGCGGUGAAAUGCGUAGAGAUCUGAAGGAAUACCAGUGGCGAAGGCGGCCCCCUGGACAAAGACUGACGCUCAGAUGCGAAAGCGUGGGGAGCAAACAGGAUUAGACACCCUGGUAG
rnacentral:rRNA from 1 species